rnacentral:lncRNA from 1 species
AUAGCAAUUGUAUUAUGAACAGAAAAAGUUGUCUGUAUUGGAUGCUUGCUCUUUGUAUCGUUUAGUUACUUAGCAGUUAUCAUAGAGAGGAGUGGUCACACUAGUUUAUAUGUACUUCUCUGUCUCUUUAUUCAUACACUUUUUCCUCCUUUCCUUUCAUUUUUCUUCACCUUUUUCAUCGUUUCCAUGAAUCAUCAAAUUUUCAAUAUUUUUCGCCAACGACAUGCCACAGUGGAAUACUCACUUGGACUAGAUACAAUUCUGCUUUUGCCUUUAACAAUUUCCAUCAACUUCCUACGAUUCUUUCCCCUAAAAACCCUACUGCAGGACCUCCACAAAACCUAUUUUUACUUCUCAUUUUAAUGUAUUUUUCUUUUCUUUUUUUUUUUUAAAAAAAAAUGCUUUAACACAUUUCUUAAUAACCAAUAUGAUAUCGAAGAAAGUGUUAGCAUUUAUAUCCAUGGUUUUGAAAGGUUAUUAUAAAAAUAAAAAAUUCAACAAUUUAACGUGUUUUGUCUAAUCUAAA